UACGUAGGGACCAAGCGUUGUCCGGAAUCAUUGGGCGUAAAGAGCGUGUAGGCGGCCAGGUAGGUCUGCUGUGAAAACUCGAGGCUCAACCUCGAGACGUCGGCGGAAACCAUCUGGCUAGAGUCCGGAAGAGGAGAGUGGAAUUCCUGGUGUAGCGGUGAAAUGCGCAGAUAUCAGGAAGAACACCCGUGGCGAAGGCGGCUCUCUGGGACGGUACUGACGCUAAGACGCGAAAGCGUGGGGAGCGAACAGG
rnacentral:rRNA from 1 species